rnacentral:rRNA from 1 species
AACGAACGCUGGCGGCAUGCCUAACACAUGCAAGUCGAACGAGACCUUCGGGUCUAUUGGCGCACGGGUGCGUAACGCGUGGGAACCUGCCCUUAGGUUCGGAAUAACUCCCCGAAAGGGGUGCUAAUACCGGAUAAUGUCUUCGCACCAAAGAUUUAUCGCCUUUGGAUGGGCCCGCGUUGGAUUCGCUAGUUGGUAGGGUAAAAGCCUACCAAGGAGAGGAUCCUUAGCUGGUCUGAGAGGAUGACAAACCACACUGGGAAUGAGACCCGGCCCAGACUCCUACGGGAGGGAGCAGUGGGGAAUAUUGGACAAUGGACGAAGGCGUGAUCAAGCAGUGCGGCGGGAGUGAUGAAGGCCUUAGGGUUGUAAAGCUCUUUUACACGGGAUGAUAAUGACAGUACCGGGAGAAUAAGCACCGGCUAACUACGUG